rnacentral:rRNA from 1 species
CUGGGGAGUACGGCCGCAAGGCUAAAACUCAAAGGAAUUGACGGGGGCCCGCACAAGCGGCGGAGCAUGCGGAUUAAUUCGAUGCAACGCGAAGAACCUUACCAAGGCUUGACAUGAACCGGUAAUACCUGGAAACAGGUGCCCCGCUUGCGGUCGGUUUACAGGUGGUGCAUGGUUGUCGUCAGCUCGUGUCGUGAGAUGUUGGGUUAAGUCCCGCAACGAGCGCAACCCUCGUUCUAUGUUGCCAGCGCGUUAUGGCGGGGACUCAUAGGAGACUGCCGGGGUCAACUCGGAGGAAGGUGGGGACGACGUCAAAUCAUCAUGCCCCUUAUGUCUUGGGCUUCACGCAUGCUACAAUGGCCGGUACAAAGGGUUGCGAUACUGUGAGGUGGAGCUAAUCCCAAAAAGCCGGUCUCAGUUCGGAUUGGGGUCUGCAACUCGACCCCAUGAAGUCGGAGUCGCUAGUAAUCGCAGAUCAGCAACGCUGCGGUGAAUACGUUCCCGGGCCUUGUACACACCGCCCGUCAAGUCACGAAAGUUGGUAACACCCGAAGCCGGUGGCCUAACCCUUGUGGGGGGAGCCGUCGAAGGUGGGACCGGCGAUUGGGACUAAGUCGUAACAAGGUAGCCGUACCGGAAGGUGCGGCUGGAUCACCUCCU